rnacentral:rRNA from 1 species
GACCUGCCUGGGGAGUACGGUCGCAAGAUUAAAAACUCAAAGGGAAUUGACGGGGNCCCGCUCAAGCGGUGGAGCAUGUGGUUUAAUUNGACGCAACGCGAAGAACCUUACCUGGGUUUGACAUCCUUAGAAUUCUUUAGAGAUAGAGAAGUGCCUUCGGGAGNUAAGUGACAGGUGCUNGCAUGGUCGUCGUCAGCUCGUGUCGUGAGAUGUUGGGUUAAGUCCCGCAACGAGCGCAACCCCUAUCGUUAGUUGCCAUCAUUAAGUUGGGCACUCUAGCGAGACUGCCGGUGACAAACCGGAGGAAGGUGGGGGCGACGUCAAAUCAUCAUGGCCCUUAUGUCCAGGGCUACACACGUGCUACAAUGGCAGAUACAACGAGUUGCGAAUCCUGCGAGGGUAAGCUAAUCUCUUAAAGUCUGUCUCAGUUCGAGAUUGCACUCUGCAACUCGAGUGCAUGAAGUUGGANNCGNUAGUAAUCGCGGAUCAGCAUGCCGCGGUGAAUACAGUUCCCGGNCC